CAUUUCUUCCAUUAGCCUCAGUCAAAUAAUUUCAGAUUGUGCCAAAAUUGCUAUAGUUUAUUAUUAACAUUGACAUAUUUGCAAUUGAAAAAAGAGAAGUUGAAAUCAACGGACUUGCGCGCCAUGGACGAAGGAGAUUGGGGGGCGUUGAUGAUCCUUGCGCGCCAUGGACACAAAAAAUGCAUAUAAAUAGAGACAUUUGAAUAAAGCUCUCCAUGUUCCGUUCUCGACGAGAGCCUUCUCUGGCCUCAGCCACUUCCGACGAAACACAGGCAUUGUUCGCUUCUCUAUUCUAUCGCUGAAAUUCCAGUGCAGGUGCUUGUUGUACAUGACAAGUUCUCUCUGGAACACGUUCUCAAGCAAUUUGGUGUAGACUAAUCGCUGGAGUUUGUGGUUCCCCAUCAGAAGAAUUAUCGAGGGCUAUUUUGUAUUUUGUGUGUGUUUAAUCCUUAAUUACAGGGGUCUCAACGAGUCCAGCAUAAGCGGAUGGCAGAAUCAAGGAAAGGAGCAUCUUCAGCUACUGAUCUUAGAAAAAAGGAUUCUCUUCUUGAUGAGGACAUCGAUAACGAAUUUAUGAAGUCCUGGAAAUCAAUAUCAGUGACAGAGGAUGACAUGGUGGACUUCAGUUUUAGUACGGCCUCAAAAGGGAAGAUUAAGGCCUUUGAUUUCGGAACUUUGGAUGAUGAUUUCAAUCUGGAUGGAAGUUUUGAAAAGUUAUCAUCGUUCAAGAUUGACAUGCCAGAUCUCGACUUUUCAUCCCCACCCAAAAAGACUGAAAAGGCUAGGAGUAGCGGUAAAGAAGGAUCAUCCAAUGGAAAUAUUCAAAAAGAUAUAGACAACUUAAAUUUCUCUUUUGAUUUUAAAGAAUUGGAUAGCUUUGAUGUUGAUAAAAGUUUACAAAAUGGAGAAAAGACUUGUAUACAACAGCAAGAUUCCAAGGCAGUUUCUUCUUCUAGAGUUGAGUGUGAAGCUUCUAAUAUUCACAGAGCUGAAGAAAACACUGCAAUUGAUAAUAGUAUAGCCAAGAGACUUCCAGCAUCAGGAAACGAGAAGAAAAAGAUUGAAAAGGCCAGGAAUAGCGGUAAAGAAGGAUCAUCCCUUGGAAAUAUUAAAAAGGAUAUAGACAACUUAAAUUUCUCUUUCGAUUUUAAAGAAUUGGAUAGCUUUGAUGUUGAUAAAAGCUUACAAAAUGGAGAAAAGACUUGUAUACAACAGCAAGAUUCCAAGGCAGUUUCUUCUUCUAGAGUUGAGUGUGAAGCUUCUAAUAUCCACAUAGCUGAAGAAAAUACUGCAAUUGAUAAUAGUAUAGCCAAGAGACUUUCAGCAUCAGGAAACGAGACUAGUUCUACAGUCGAGAAUUUUCAGGGAGAUUGUGGUGAGCUAGUGUCGGAAGAAGCGGAUGGUACAUCACAUGAAGCAAUAACUUCAACACCAACUACAAAUGAAGAGGAAAAAGGUUGCUUGUCUGAAAAAGAAGUGGCAAAGAGUAGUCAUCAAGUCAUUCAUGAUGUACCGGUCAACUGUGUUGCCAGAAAUGCACCUGAAAGUACUUCAGAAACCCAGUCUGAAAUUUGUUCGGAAAGAGGAGAACUAACAUCAGUUUCAGGUGGAACUAGAAAUGUCACUGAUGAAAACAUAGAGUCUGAUGUAACUUGCUCUAGAAAAUUGCCUCAAAGCUAUUUGUCUCUAAUAAAUAUCCCUGCAUCGGAAAAGAAUAAGUCAGAAUGCAACCAGCUGAAUAAACUUGUUGAUAAUGUUCAACUGGCUGAAGUUCAUUUAGAUCUCAAAGAUUUUUCAAAUUCAGAUGUCCCGAGGAAGCUUUUGCCUGACACGCAGAAAAUCAGAGAAAACCAAAAUUUGAAAUUGAAAUUGUCUACAGUUCCCUUAAGCAGAGGACCGCCGCCAAUAAAUGAAGUGACAGUUAAAGAAAAAGAAAUGGGUAGGAAUUCAUCAUUGUCAAGGACAGAUGAUAGCAAACCUCAGCUACAUCAAUCAUCAUCUAUUAGUACAAAACUUUUCUCUUUAGGCACGAAUAAAACUGAUGCUCCAAAUCAAAUUCCGGCAGCUGGAGACGGGAACCUCUGCAGAGACUCUCGAUCACAUAAUAAAGGAGCAAAGACAGCUCCGCCAGUUGCAAUACAACGUGAAAAGAACUUAGGAAAGCUUGGUGCUUUAAGUGCCAGAGUUAAUCCUAGCAAUUCGUGUGUAAGAAAAAGUACUCAAACACAUUGCAGUAUGGAACCACAAAAAUCAUCAAUGCUACAUAGUCAAAACGCAAAGACCAUUUCAGCUCAAGGGAAUAAACUAUGUUCUAUUAAAGCUAGCUUAAUAUUUCCGAAUCCUUCCAGCUUGAAGACUUCUAGAGGAUUUGGAGGAAAGCAAGUCCUUUUGAGUACUGGAGGUGUGCAAGAAAAGAAAUUAUCAGAACAAGCUACGGAAGCAAGACAAAGAAGUAAAAAGUUUGACAUUGGCUACUGUGCUGAAAACCCGGAGAAACAAAAACUUCCGAUCUCCAACAUGAAGCGUAAAGCACUAGAGGGACCAAAUGUAGAUUCAAUGUUGUUAAAACCUCUGAAGCUCUUUUGUAUAUCACCUGGUGAAUUUAGAAACUCCAAAGAGCCAUUGGAGAAAAAGAUAGAACAGGUUGAACGAAUGAACACUGCCUCCCAUGAUCAAUUGCCCAACAGUUUUGAAGAUACUUGUGUGCCAAAUAUGAUGGAAUUGAAAGUAUCUUUGGUUUUUGAAAAUAAUCGAAAUGUUGAAAAAGCAGAAGCCUAUUCACAGCAGCUUGAGGAUAUGUGCAAUAUGCUGAAAAAGAAGCAAAAUGAGGCCAAGGAUAUAUUAGUCCGAGCCCUUGUUAACGACAAUAAUCUACUCAUGCUCAAUCAUCCCAACUAUGAGGAAAAGAUAUCCUUCUAUGGCAUUUUCAUUUUUAAAAUUUUGGGGUUUUCUUUUCUCACUUCUUUAUCCAAAGCCCAACUCUGAAUUCCUUCACGAUUUUGAACAUUAUGAAGGUACAGAAAUUUGCUACCCAACUGUUGUCCAAGAAGCUUCAGACAGAAGCAGCUUGAGCCUUAAUUCCAUUUACAGGCUCUGAAUCUCGGCAACUUGAACCAAAAUUAGCUGCUAAGUCACAUCGGCCAGCGCUGUUGGGUUCCAGAGACAACUUUCACAUUGGAAUGGUAGCCGUCGAAGGCUCCGGAAGCAUUCCUCAACGAGGGGUGGCUCGCCUGUCACCGGGAGGCCCUGAUCCCCGCCACCAUUGAUCUUUAGAAUCCUUCUCCAUGUGUUGUGUAAGAGAAGUUAGUCUAGCAGGCUCCGAUUCUGUUAUUACCGUUUGACGUAGGAGAUCUGAAACUAAAAAAAUUGGUAUUUGGAUUUCACAAUUGAAUAACUUUUCGUCCAUUUGACAGUAAUGACAUUUUUUUUUCACUUCUCCUUAUCACCUUGCAA